rnacentral:lncRNA from 1 species
CACCACGAAAUCGUAAGCCCCGUUCAGUUAGUCGCAUUAGGACCAAGUGAAUAACUGUGAUAUAAUCGGCCAAAGAACUCCGGUCUUGGGCAAUUAGGGCUCCACACACGUCUCAGCCCAUUGCACAGUGGCAAUAUUGCCCGUUGACACGGAGGCCACCCGUUCCAGGGUUUGCAUCUCUGCACAUUAUGGCCCGGGGACUUUCCUGGGGCUCGAACCUGCGAGAGGCAGGUUGACACCCCGUUCACUUCGUUUCGUGGCGAAGCUGGACUUCGUCUCACAUAUUUCGUAUAUAAACCCGUUUUUCAAUUCUUCUCCAUCCGAUGUGGGACGCGACCAAAUUUUUUCAUCCACCCUCGUUGAGGCCCAAGCCGCCUCAACUACUUAAAUUGAAGGAAAUUUUCGUAAAAGUGGUGCAAAAAAUGCUCAACGACUCUGAAAAUCCACGUCGACCCCAUCUUUAAAUUUUAAUCCGCGAAAAAAAAUAUAAUUCUACGUCUACUCUUGUUUGCUAAGCUAGCUAUAAAUAAAGAUAUGUUAAAAUAAUAUAUUUGUUGUAUUUUAUUGAAUCCGAUCUCUACAAACAAGAAACUGACAUUUUUGAUGAUAUCGUCAAUUCAUCGCGACAAUACAACUACGAUUAAAGCAAUUUUUUUUUAUUUGACAUAAUUAUAUUUGAUUUUCUAAAUACAAGUGUUGAUGCAUAUUGUAGAUUUUAAAUUUGUUGAAUAUUUCCAUGUCUAAAUGUAAUUGUGACCUUCUGUAAAUCUUCGUUAAGUCAAUGAACAUGACGUUAAGUAUUGACUCGACUAAUACUCUGAAAAUUAAAAUUUACAUGCUCACUAUAUUUUAUUCUUUCUAAUACUUUUUACCUGUAUUUGGAUGAUGCAUUUAAUUCAAUUAGAAACUCGCAUAUAUUAGGAUUAAAUUUCAAAUAAUUCCAUUUCAAAUUUGGUAUUUUACUUUCUGCAUAGUUAGAGUUAAUCAUGUAUCCAUGUUGAAAAAUUAUCUCGACCAUAAUCAAGUUUUAAGGAAAAAUAUAUAAUUACCUUACUUUCAAUAUACAAUUUCAAAAUUAACUAACUUAAUGAAAUCUUUAAGAAAUUACACAAGGUCAUGGUCAAUUAUUGUUAAUUAUAUAACAAGUCAUCGUGAUUGGUUAUUAUUAUAGUUCUUAAUUAGUUAGAAAAAAAUAAAAAUAAAAAUAAAAUAAAAUAAAAUAAAAUAAAAGCUGCUCAUGCAACAUCGUGACGGCAUUGUAUUCUACCUCAAUGUUAGUUUUUUGUCUGGGUCUCCCACCAUUGUGUUACUUAUGUUGUCGCAUUAUUUUUUUCAUGUAUGGAAUUUUAUGAAUUGAAACAAAAUAAAUUAAUUAACAAAAAAUUUUGGUAACUUAUUUUGAUGCACCCAAGAUAUUUUUUUUAUUAAUUAAUUAAUCAAUAGAAUACCAUGAAAACCUAAACUCCAGGUAUUUGGCUAGCCACGAUAGUGUCAAAUACCAAAAUUUAAGGAAAACAAUUUGAAAAAGAGCUCCUUCUAUCGCAUGCCAAACAAAAGUUAAUUAACAAACGCAAUUCUUUCUUUAUUAUUAUUAUUAUUAUUAUUAUUAUUAUUAUUAUUAUUUUCCAUUUAUUGGGAUGUGUAUAUUUUUGUUGAAAUAUUAUUAUUCAUUCCAUACGUCGAAUUUAAUAUAGUGGAUUUCAAAGGUCGACAAGAAAGAACUUUGUUCAUGGAUGUAUCUGCAAAAUUUAAGAAAACUAAACAAGAGAUGCAAAUUAUGAGAAACGAGAAAUUUUUUAACAGUAAAAAAUAUUGUAUAUAUGGAGGAUCAUAAGAAAGCAUGAUGCAAUUGAUAGGAGAUUUCAUUUGCGAUUUGGAAGAAAGAAACCAAGACUAAGAAAAAGAGAUGUAGACAUAAUUUGAAAAUCUCUCUUUGAAUUUUCAAGGGGAGGCCAACAUGAGCUUCAUAAAUUUGUUUACUAUUACUUUGGAUAGUACAUUUUGUUUAAAGAAUUAAGAAAAUAAAUAAACUAAGAAGAAUUGAAAAAAAAAAAAAAAAUUUAUCUGGCCACAUAAACUUGCAUUCGAAUCUCUCUCUAAACAAGUUAAAAGUUCUCACCUUAAAUAAAAAAAAAUAAAAAAAAACAAAAAAAAAACAGUUUUUCGAUCGGUAGAUUUAAACUGAAUAGAAUAGUAUAACCUAUGUAUCCGAGUUGAACCAUCUUGUUUUGAAAGUCUCUUUUUAUGCUUGACCAAGCUUGUAGUUUGCACAAGCUAAGCCUCGUUUGGUGCACAUUAUUGGGGAAAAUAAUACAUUUUUUUCAUUAAAUCAGCCUACAAUAUUUGACUUCAACACUUUAAGGUAGGACUCAUAAUGUGAUAUUUAAAAUGCAUUUUUGUUGAAAAAAUGUGGAACAAACGGGGACUCAGUGCACUUUACACUCCUAAAAAAUCAACUAAAAGUUUAAUUUCAAAGUGACUCAAUGCACUUUACACUCCUAAUUUAACCUUCCAACUAAAGUCCUUUUUUUUUUUUUUUUUUUGAAUUUAUUUAGCUAUUGUUUGAUUCCCAUUUUGAAAGAAAUAAUGCAUUUUAAAUAGUAGAUUGAUAGACAAUGUGUGAUUAAAAGUUAAAAAAAAAAAUUGAAUUUGCGUGUAAUAUUAUUUUAUUGAAGUAUGUGUUGUUGAAAAUGAGUUUUGAAAAAAUAAAUUUUUAGAAGAAUGAGAAUCAAAUAUGGCUUUAAUAUAGUAGCCAUAAUCGAUAUUUAAUUAAUCCCCAAAACCAAACACUACAAAACUUGCACUAAAUUUAUAAGUUAUUCCCUUCCAAGGGCAUCUAAAGCAGAAUCAAUAGAAUUUGAUAACAAUUUAAAAACCUCUAAAAAUAUUCACUAAUUUCUUGAAUCGUUUUACAUGAACAAAGAAGACCUAGCUCUAAUAUUUCUCGGAAUAACAAACAAUACAUGAAGAAAUUUGAUCCCAGCUGUUGGAUUAAUGAUCAAAUCACCCAAUCGUUGAUCUGGCAAUUAAAUUUGAACCGCUCACCACGUUUGCCAUUUCAUAUUCUAAGGCUCAACUUAUACCAUGAUUUUCACGCCCGCCAAUACGCCUAGGCAGCGAGAAGCGCACCCACGAUAGCUAUUAUUGCACAUUAAAUGUGGUGACAGUUGCGUGUAUGAGAACUUGAACCAUUGUCAGCCGUCUUUUUUGGGAAUCGUUGAUGACAGCUAAUCAUUUUAGCAUGGAUCUCGAUAAUGCCUUGUACUCCCCAACAGUGACCUGUACAAUCUUUCCAAUCUCUCUUACAACCUCAUCUACAUUAACAAAGCACAGCACUUCAGCAUUAUGACUCACGGCAUAUAAGUACAACUACAACUUCGGAACAAAUGAGCGUCAGUUCAGGCAAGUUUCCUCAAAGUGUGGCCUUGAGGGCAGCUAGGUUAACCAAAAACUCUAAUUUUCACAUAAAUGUUCACAAAUUAGACUUGGGGGACUAUAUUGUUAUGCAAUUAAAUUCUCCCACGUGAUCAAAUUUUCUUUUCCUUAUGAAAUACAAAUUCUAUGUAUCACAUGAAUGACUAUACUUAGACUUCAGAAACUAUUAUUACUGAUCAUAAGUAGUACUCUCAAUGAGACCACGUGAGAGCCCCGUGUUCAUACACGUGGCACUUAAUCAAGGGUAAAGAGAGGGUUAUGGAAGUGCUUUUAUCAACAGCCGAGGUCAUAAUGCUGAAGUUCUCCGAAGUGGUCUCUUUUUCCUUGUUCAACCGAAGUGGCUUUUCUCCUUUUUGCCGAACCCCUUCACAUCCGAAGUUCAUAACAUCCAAAAAAGGGUCUGAUAGGCCUAUCUUUAGAAUUGAUUGAUGUGACAUCCUCAUUAAAUAGAUGUCAGGAAUGUCAGCCUAGAAAUGUGGGACGGUUGAUCCCUUGUCAACUGUCUGUCAAAUGUAAUUAAUAUAAGAUAGGAUGAUGCGACAGUAGGGUCUAGCAAAUCAGGUCAUGUGAAUUUGAUCCAACAAUGACCACGUCAGCUUGGUUACUAUAAAUAGCGAUCUUUGUAAGAUUUUAGGGGGAUGAUUUCCAGACAUAUGAGAAAGCAUUGUAUUUUUCUCUCUACAUAAACCCACUCAUUGUUCCAUAUAUUCUUCUUCUACAAGAGUAUGUCUUACUUGUUUUAAACAUAUUUGAUCAGCAAUCAAAUAUUGUUUUAGCUUACAAUCGACAUAUUGAGGAAUACGUCCAUGUGUGCAUCAUUUUGAAUGACAUCUAUUGGCACGUUUUUGGAGGUCAACAAUAAUAAUAACUGUUGACCUCCAAAAAUGGCUCCAACAGGCACCCUAGCCUCGCCCCCUCGAAACCUGCGCAAGUAGCACCCCGUCAAGAAGCAAAGGCAGCCGGACGAGAAGAAGGUCCGACGACCGUUUGCACUCCGACGGUCAAGUCAACGGUCGGACGGAGAUAGAUAUAUAGAGUGCAAUAGUAUGGAGAUAGGGGUUUGGCUAGAGAAUGUAGAACAUACCUUAACUUGUGAAUUGAAUCCAUAUAUAUAAAGAAAUGAUGUGAAAUGGGCUAAGGCGGGUUAAUGGGCCUAAGUUCGAGCCCAGUAUGAGGUGAGCAAAGUGAUAGGCACUUCGGCUGGGCUUUUUAUGGCCUCGGUGGCGCCUCGGCUAGGCUUCUUAGAGCCUCGGCUUUGAGGCCCAACACUAAUGGACCUAGCUCGGGUCCAAUAAGGUGGCCCAAUAUGGAGUGAUAAUUCAUAGGCGUAACAAUAACAACAAUAAAAAAGAGUUGAACUAUGCAUAGUCGUGCUAUCCCGGCAAUCAUCGUUUGCUUCUGGAAGUGGGGAGAUACACGCCCUCUGCCGCCAACCAAACGUUAUCAGCUAGCUUUUUCCGGUCACCACAAAUCUGCAAUGCAUGCAAGGGAGUUGUCUUUGAGGAUGUUACUUAAUGAAAACUGGCAUGAUAUUAUUGAAUACUAUAAUGACUUCAUAUUGAUAUCACCUCUUGUUGUCCGCCAGCUAUGCGGGUGUAUUUCUUGUCAUGAUUGUGUAGGUAUCCACCAGUGUCUACGUGAUGAAAUUUCACCCUUUGGUCUUGCCUCCAUGUCUUUCCAUUUCCCUCAAUCUUUAUUCUAAAUAUCACGUGAAAUACAUGAACACUGUGUGAACAAAUUUCUUGACCAUAUUUCUUCAAACUGAGAUAAGUUCCCAAGAGCAAGUGAUGUGAUAUUCGAUCAGCUUUGGUUCCGUAUUUGCUGAGUUUAUCUGUAUAAAUUAACUGAUACGAAACAUUCUGUUUGAUUGAAAUUUUUGUGAAGUUGCUGUGGUUCUAAAUGUGGGUAAUAUGCUGUUUUCUUAAUAGUCCUUUGAUAUUUUGCAUUGAAGAUCAUAAAUUGAAUUGUUAUUCAGGCUUUGACAAUGAUCCUCUUUAUCAUGUUUGCUGUAUGGGGGAAAAAUUAUACGGUCCUCAAUGCGAUCAUGUGUCUAUUGUCUCAUCUACUUUCCUUGUCAGAUUACACUACUAAGCACUUUUGAGAGAUGAAGAGUCUUAUUCAUGUUUUGUUAGUUAGUUCAAGGAGAAGAGAAAUUGAGAAAGAAUCACGAGAUCGUAGAACCCUUUAGUUAGUCGCAUUAGAACCAAGUAAAUACUUGGCCAAAGAAGUCUGCAGGUCGGAAAAAAAAAAAAAAAAAGAGUAACACCACGAAAUCGUAAGCCCCGUUCAGUUAGUCGCAUUAGGACCAAGUGAAUAACUGUGACAUAAUCGGCCAAAGAACUCCGGUCUUGGGCAAUUAGGGCUCCACACACGUCUCAGCCCAUUGCACAGUGGCUAUAUUGCCCAUUGACACGGAGGCCACCCGUUCCUGGGUUUGCAUCUCUGCAAAUCAUGACCCGGGGACUUUCCUGGGGCUCGAACCUACCAGAUGCAGGUUCACACCCCGUUCACUUCGUUUCGUGG